GACGAACGCUGGCGGCGUGCCUAAUACAUGCAAGUCGAGCGAGUCUGCCUUGAAGAUCGGAGUGCUUGCACCCUGUGAAACAAGAUACAGGCUAGCGGCGGGCGGGUGAGUAACACGUGGGUAACCUGCCCAAGAGAUCGGGAUAACACCUGGAAACAGAUGCUAAUACCGGCUAACAACAGAUGAUGCCUAUCAACUGUUUAAAAGAUGGUUCUGCUAUCACUCUUGGAUGGACCUGCGGUGCAUUAGCUAGUUGGUAGGGUAACGGCCUACCAAGGCGAUGAUGCAUAGCCGAGUUGAGAGACUGAUCGGCCACAUUGGGACUGAGACACGGCCCAAACUCCUACGGGAGGCAGCAGUAGGGAAUCUUCCACAAUGGACGCAAGUCUGAUGGAGCAACGCCGCGUGAGUGAAGAAGGGUUUCGGCUCGUAAAGCUCUGUUGUUGGUGAAGAAGGACAGGGGUAGUAACUGACCUUUGUUUGACGGUAAUCAAUGAGAAAGUCACGGCUAACUACGUG
rnacentral:rRNA from 1 species